GUCGCUUUAGCUCACUUGGGAGAGCGCCAGACUGAAGUGUACUUUGGUCGUCUGCAAACUGUGCGGUAUCUGGAGGUACUGUGUUCGAUCCACAGAAGCGACA
rnacentral:tRNA from 1 species